AGCUAACGCCUGGAUAGAGGCAGGGAACUAACCCGGGCACUGAGGGGUCAACUCUCAGUGCCGAUCCCGUGCCCGGAAAAAAUGGAAGGCUCGCGGCAGGAAAGGCACGAAAAACCUGUGCCAAAUCAGAUAUGCGGAUCAGAUGAUCCACUGUGUUGACCCUAAAAAAGGAGCACUCAAAGAGCAACAACAACAACAACACUUCUACCACUGUAUAUUAACAAUCAAAGUUCUCAGAGGAGCACAGAACAAUCUUCAGGAUUAGAGCAGCAGUUCUUGGGUGCAAAUCCAACUACAAAGACCUGGCUGAUCCAUCUAGAUGCCCUACUUCUGCUACCUCUAGCUGGAGUCUCAUCACUUGUAAAUCAUUAACCUGAGGAUGGCCCCACAUGGGCAGCCUGGAGAUACAUGAGAUGAAGUUGAUGGUACCACUUAAAAAGCAUGAAGAUGAUUUUGAACUGCAAAAGUCUUGAGCAGUG